rnacentral:rRNA from 1 species
CGCCCUUAGAGUUUGAUCAUGGCUCAGGACGAACGCUGGCGGCGUGCCUAAUACAUGCAAGUCGAACGCAGCUUGCUUUGGUAAGAUGAGUGGCGAACGGGUGAGUAACACGUGGGUAACCUGCCUAUCAUAGGGGGAUAACACUUGGAAACAGGUGCUAAUACCGCAUAGAUUUCUUUCGCAUGAAAAGAGAGGAAAGACGUACGUGUCACUGAUAGAUGGACCCGCGGUGCAUUAGCUAGUUGGUGAGGUAACGGCUCACCAAGGCCAUGAUGCAUAGCCGACCUGAGAGGGUGAUCGGCCACACUGGGACUGAGACACGGCCCAGACUCCUACGGGAGGCAGCAAUAGGGAAUCUUCGGCAAUGGACGAAAGUCUGACCGAGCAACGCCGCGUGAAGAAGAAGGUUUUCGGAUCGUAAAUCUGUUGUUAAGAAAGAAUAGG